rnacentral:rRNA from 1 species
AAACUAACUAGGAUUCCCUUAGUAACGGCGAGUGAACCGGGAUGAGCUCAAAUUUGAAAUCUGGCGUCUUUCAGGCGUCCGAGUUGUAAUCUAUAGAGGCGUUUUCCGCGCCGGACCGCGUCCAAGUCUCUUGGAAUAGAGUAUCAAAGAGGGUGACAAUCCCGUACUUGACGCGACAACCGGUGCUCUGUGAUACGUUCUCAAUGAGUCGAGUUGUUUGGGAAUGCAGCUCUAAAUGGGUGGUAAAUUCCAUCUAAGGCUAAAUAUUGGCGAGAGACCGAUAGCGAACAAGUACCGUGAGGGAAAGAUGAAAAGCACUUUGGAAAGAGAGUUAAACAGCACGUGAAAUUGUUAAAAGGGAAACGAUUGAAGUCAGUCGUGUGGGAAGUAUUCAGCCGUCUCUGGCGGUGUAUUUGCUUCUCACGGGUCAACAUCAGUUUGAUCCGGUAGAAAAAGGCGGGAAGAAGGUGGCACCCUCGGGUGUGUUAUAGCUUCCUGUCAUAUGUGCCGGACCAGACUGAGGAACGCAGCUUGCAGCAAUGCCGGGGUUCGCCCACGUACAAGCUUAGGAUGUUGACAUAA